rnacentral:rRNA from 1 species
UGGGGAAUAUUGCACAAUGGGCGAAGCCUGAUGCAGCAACGCCGCGUGAGUGAUGAAGGCCUUCGGGUUGUAAAGCUCUGUCUUUUGGGACGAUAAUGACGGUACCAAAGGAGGAAGCCACGGCUAACUACGUGCCAGCAGCCGCGGUAAUACGUAGUGGCAAGCGUUGUCCGGAUUUACUGGGCGUAAAGGAUGCGUAGGCGGAUUUUUAAGUGAGAUGUGAAAUACCCGGGCUUAACUUGGGUGCUGCAUUUCAAACUGGGAAUCUAGAGUGCGGGAGAGGAGAAUGGAAUUCCUAGUGUAGCGGUGAAAUGCGUAGAGAUUAGGAAGAACACCAGUGGCGAAGGCGAUUCUCUGGACCGUAACUGACGCUGAGGCAUGAAAGCGUGGGUAGCAAACAGGAUUAGAUACCCUGGUAGUCCACGCCGUAAACGAUGAGUACUAGGUGUAGGAGGUAUCGACCCCUUCUGUGCCGCAGUUAACACAAUAAGUACUCCGCCUGGGAAGUACGAUCGCAAGAUUAAAACUCAAAUGAAUUGACGGGGUC